rnacentral:lncRNA from 1 species
GACACAAAACCCGGAAGGACCCCGCCGAAGGUUUUCUCCGGUUCGGGAGAGAGACGGAGUCCCGCUCUGUCACGCAGGCUGCCAGGCUGGCGUACAGUGGCGCAAUCUCAGCUCGCUGCAACCUCCACCUCCUGGGUUCAAGCGAUUUUCUUGCCUCUGCCUCCUGAGUAGCUGGGAUUACUGGCACACACCACCAUGCACAGUUCCUUGUUCAAAAUGCCAAGAACCUGGAUGACUCAUAGUCAAGACCCUCCACCAGUAACAUAUAUUGGCGAGCCAGCCAGGAGCUUGGAACCCUCGGUGGACAGUGCCUAAGCACAGAGGCAACCACAGGUUUCUAACAGGGCCACUCUCUGGUGAAACUGAAAGGUUUCUGUGUGAAAGUGCCUGACCACCACUGCCCAAUUCAGACCACUACAGGAAACACUCCAUUU